rnacentral:rRNA from 1 species
AACGAACGCUGGCGGCAUGCCUAACACAUGCAAGUCGAACGAGACCUUCGGGUCUAGUGGCGCACGGGUGCGUAACGCGUGGGAACCUGCCCUUAGGUUCGGAAUAACUCCCCGAAAGGGGUGCUAAUACCGGAUAAUGUCUUCGGACCAAAGAUUUAUCGCCUUUGGUUGGGCCCGCGUUGGAUUAGCUAGUUGGUAGGGUAAAAGCCUACCAAGGCGACGAUCCAUAGCUGGUCUGAGAGGAUGAUCAGCCACACUGGGACUGAGACACGGCCCAGACUCCUACGGGAGGCAGCAGUGGGGAAUAUUGGACAAUGGGCGAAAGCCUGAUCCAGCAAUGCCGCGUGAGUGAUGAAGGCCUUAGGGUUGUAAAGCUCUUUUACCCGGGAUGAUAAUGACAGUACCGGGAGAAUAAGCCCCGGCUAACUCCGUG